CUCAGCUUCUUCACCCCUGCAGGACCUGCCUUGCUGGCUUCUGGUCUGCACACAGGAAUUCCAGGCUUGGACUGGAGUGAAGCCCUCAAGAUCCACAAAGACAAAACCAGCCCGAGUCAUCACAACCCACACUUCGGGAUGGGACAGCAGCCCUGGGGCCGGCUUCCAGGUCCCAGAGGUGAGGAAGAAGUUCACUCCUAACCCCUCCGCCAUCUUUCAGGCCUCAGCUCCCCGGAUUCUCAACGUGUGACUGCCUGCACCGUGACACCAUGGCUGCCGACAGGACAGGGCUGGGGAGCGGCCUCAGGACCCACUGCCGCGGGGCUGGGCGAGAGCAUGGCAUGGGCCCCUGCGGGAGGGCACAGCCCCUCUCAAAGCUGUCACCAGGGCCAAAGUGCUGGUGUGGAGCAGAUGCACCGAUGGACUUGGCACACCCAGCUCAGCCUCAAGCAUCCUCUUGAGAAGCCUGUGGAAGGCUCCUGCGUUCGUUAACUGCCAUCUGGCCGUCUCUCAGUUUUGAAAUCUCUGAGGAGCCUGAGGAUCAAGUCAGUUGGGAACCGAAUUGGUCCAUGGAAGCUGAGGAAUGUGGACACAUCCGGCCCUUGAAAGAACCAGUUAUGUCCACUUUUGGUGGAUUUCCCAGGAUGCGUGAGCACUUGAUUAAUUUCAUAACCUACAGUGAGACCCUUGGCUCUUCCUACAAAUGGCCCCUGCAGUUGAAGCUGUUGGAAUCUUGGGCCGUCACCUGCAUGACUCAUGGUGAUGCUGAGUAUCCAGGAGGAAAUUUCCAGAAGAAACAGACCGUCAGUCACGGGCUUCCACUUCACAGACCUCCUUAUGGCCAAGAUGAGCCUCAUGUUUUAACAAAACAGUUCUUGGGAUUGAAUGACUCACAUUUACCUUGUGCUAGGUUCUAAAGAUUGAAUCCACAUUUUGUUACUAAUGAUUUUCCCGCUAACAUAAGGAUGAUGAGCAGGGCACUAUCAUACACACUGGCUGAGAACUGGAACUGUUUUUGGGAAGGUGGCAUUUGUCUCAUUCCCUGAAAUACCUUAAAAUGUCCUCUACACCAACCCUUCCGUCUACCCUGCUCACAUGUACAGUGACGGGGAACUCACCACCUUUUGAAGAGGCAGUUCAUUUUCUUUGCAAAGCUCUCUCCUAACUUCCUCCGUAAAUUCCAGCCAGCAUGGCCACAUGGGUCACGCCUGGUGCCUUCACACGUUUGAGGGGUCUUCGUCUCUUUUUAAAGCUUAGAGGUACAAGCUCAGGACAGUCUUCAGUAAGGAAAUUUGUGGAUUUCCCUUUGGAUCUUUCUUCCUCUCCAGCCCACAAGUGGCUCUAGUGAGACGAGCAUUUAAGCUGCAGGUGGUGGCACUCGGGUCUCAGAGCCACCAGACGUGCAGGUGGGACAGUGGUUCCAGCUCCGACUGCCUGUCAGCGUCCCUCCCAGGUGCUAGCCCUGGCAGGCACAGCCCUCCCCUCAUGCCAGCAAAGGAAAUGCUCUUGAUGAGAGGCUCGCUUUAAAGAAGCCCAAAGCGUGUGCUUAUCCAAGGGGUUCAGCUAUUCCUGACUUCACGGCUUGCAUGUUUGAUUUUUCUAAGAGAAAAGAGGCUGCCUGCUGGGUGUCUGUGGAAAUGAGAUUAAAAACUGUACAAUCUCAGAUUUUACUAAAAU
rnacentral:lncRNA from 1 species